AGCGGGGUGGGGUAGCCAGGAUAUCCCGUCGGGCUCAUAACCCGGAGAUCGAUGGUUCAAAAGGGCAGGCAGGACCUCCCUG
rnacentral:tRNA from 1 species